UUGAAAGGGAAACGAUUGAAGGCAGUCGUACCAGCGGGAAAUCAACCUUUCGAGUGGGGUUUUGGAGUUUUGAAGUGUGUCAAAACCUUUGAGAUUUCAAAAUAUUCGCUCUUUUGGUGUACUUUCUCGUGGGUAGGUUAACAUCGAUUUUGAUCAUCAUAAAAAGAUUGGAGGAAUGUAGCUUCGAUCUUGUAUUGAAGUGUUAUAGCCUUUGGUAAAUGUGAUGAUUAGGAUCGAGGAUUGCAACGAAUACCCUUUUGGGCUAUCCGCCUGAUCUCUGAUACGUGGCCUUGGUAUCGAAAGCGUGCUUAUGGUAUUGAGGUAUUACGGUCAAAAGGUUAGAACGGAUUACAUUCGUUAAGGAUGUUGACGUA
rnacentral:rRNA from 1 species